rnacentral:rRNA from 1 species
AUAGUGGCGCACGGGUGCGUAACACGUAACUAACCUACCUAUAACUGGGGGAUAGCCCGCCGAAAGGCGGAUUAAUACCGCAUAAGCUAGUUGACUCGGCAUCGGGUUAUUAGUAAAGAUUUAUUGGUUAUAGAUGGGGUUGCGGGUCAUUAGCUAGUUGGUAAGGUAACGGCUUACCAAGGCGACGAUGACUAGGGGAGCUGAGAGGCUGGUCCCCCACACGGGCACUGAGAUACGGGCCCGACUCCUACGGGAGGCAGCAGUAGGGAAUAUUGGGCAAUGGGCGAGAGCCUGACCCAGCCAUGCCGCGUGCAGGAAGAAGGCUUUCUGAGUCGUAAACUGCUUUUGACAGGGAAGGAUAAGGCUUACGUGUAGGCUGAUGACGGUACCUGCAGAAUAAGCACCGGCUAACUCCGUGCCAGCAGCCGCGGUAAUACGGAGGGUGCGAGCGUUGUCCGGAUUUAUUGGGUUUAAAGGGUGCGUAGGCGGUCCAUUAAGUCUGGGGUGAAAGCCCGCUGCUCAACAGCGGAACUGCCCUGGAUACUGGCGGACUUGAGUACAGACGAGGUUGGCGGAAUGGACUGAGUAGCGGUGAAAUGCAUAGAUACAGUCCAG